rnacentral:rRNA from 1 species
AUGUGGUAUCUCCGUAGGGGAGUUGUGCUAACAAAAGACAACCUCGCACGACGCAACUGGUCCGGAAGUAAGAAGUGUUGUUUUUAUACUCAUGAUGAGACAAUUAAACACCUCUUUUUUCAAUGUAAGUUUGCGCGUUCUACGUGGUCGGCCAUCCAAAUAGCGUCAAAUUUGUAUCCGUCCACAAAUUUUGCCAAUAUUUUUGGUUAUUGGUUGGACGGUAUUUCAAAUAGGUACAAAACGCUAAUAAGGGUUGGAGCAUAUGCCUUAGUAUGGUCGCUUUGGCUAUGUAGAAAUGAUGUUGUUUUUAAUGACAAAAAUGUUUCUCCUUUGCAGGUUAUUUUCCGUUGUACGCACUUGCUUCGUACGUGGUGUACGCUACAACGAGCGGAGUACCAACCGUUGUUCAAGGCGGUGUGUACGCUGUUGGAGCAGGUGGCUACGGAGAUUUUUUCCCAACAUGGGUGGCAGCAUAAUCUCCGGAUUGGUCCACCAUCUCUUUCGACAUAG